GCCGGGUGUGGUGGUGCAUGCCUGUAGUCCUAGCUACUAAGGAGGCUGAGGUAGGGGGAUCACCUCAGCCUGGGAGAUCAAGGCUGCAGUGAGCCAUGAUCGUGCCACUGCACUCCAGCUUAGGUGACAGGGUGAGACCCUAUCUCAA
rfam:Gorilla gorilla gorilla genomic chromosome, chr3, whole genome shotgun sequence